rnacentral:lncRNA from 1 species
AAGUCUUUGAAAUAGAGGAAAUGAAAUCAAUUUACAAAAGAAAUCAUUUCACAAUUCGGAAUCAAUUUGAUUACUCAUCAACCCCUUGUAUUUCCUCUCAAUGUUCCCUCAAAUGCAUGUACAGAAUAAUCAAGCAUAGAGAAUCAAGAUUAUAGAGGAAUCUACUACAAUAUCAAUCAAUAUGCUCAAGUGGAAUCAAUUUACACUUGGCGACAUUCAUGAAAAUGAAUUAAGGAUGCUCAUGGUGCAAAGUACAUGACUCCCACUCACCUGUCAAUCCGGCACAGCCCUGAUACGCCUCCAAAAAUCUACAGCAUGUAGUGGGGAACUUCUUCCUCUUGUUCCCUAGCUUCUUGCCCAACUGUGACAUGCAUUUACAAUACAUUUAGUCUUGUAUCAAGGGCCAUAAUCUAC